AGCACAGCAAGAGGGAGAGCUGCCCAGCGCCUCUUGGUCUGCUGGCUUCCCAGCGAAGCAGGAUGAGGGAUGGGAAGGAGCCCUUACGGAGCCCCUUCCGUCUCUCAUCCUGCUUCGCUGGAAAGCCAGUGACCCAGAAGUACUGCGCAGCUCUCCCUCUUGCUGUGCU